GACUUAUAAAAUUUGGUAUGUAUAUAAAUUUGUGUGACGUCAUCACGUCAUUCAUUUGUGAAUAUAUAUCAUGCAGUGUUACCUAUCAAUAUUAAUCAGGGGGUAAGGGUGCGGGCAAUGGGUGGGGAUUUGACAAAAAAUUGGGUCAAAUGCCCGCUGGUGGGGCAUUCUAAGAUAAUCAAAUGUUUCAAAACAGACGCCCCCAGGGGAUAGAUCGAGGCAAAAUAUUUUAAUAACAUUGAAUAAAAGAGCCACAAAAAGCACCUGGGCAUCGUAAAUUUUAUCCCCAGAAACUAGACUAUGUACUGUAUUCAAAUUCCAAAAGGCCAGAGGACAGAAGUGGAAAUAAAAAAUAAAAAGUUUUUUCUCAAUUCUAGGCUCCAGGCUUCGUACUAAAAUUGCAUAUUCAAUUAUGUUGAAGGGCAAAUCGCCCACACCCUGGCAAAAAAUAUUUGUCAAAUGCCUGUCUGUGGGGAUAGAAUUCACGAUUAAAUCCCCACCCAUUGCCAACACACCCUUACCCCCAGAUUAAUAUUGAUAGGUGCAUUAAUUUGUUAACAGUUUAGUGG